CCGUUUGUGGCUUAGUGGUUAAUGUCACAGCCUAUGGAUCGUGAAGUUGCAGGUUCAAGCCCUGCUGGAAGCA
rnacentral:tRNA from 1 species